UGCCUACGGGAGGCAGCAGUGGGGAAUAUUGCACAAUGGGGGAAACCCUGAUGCAGCAACGCCGCGUGAGUGAAGAAGUAUUUCGGUAUGUAAAGCUCUAUCAGCAGGGAAGAAGAAAGACGGUACCUGACUAAGAAGCCCCGGCUAACUACGUGCCAGCAGCCGCGGUAAUACGUAGGGGGCAAGCGUUAUCCGGAUUUACUGGGUGUAAAGGGAGCGUAGACGGUGAUGCAAGUCAGAAGUGAAAGCCCGCGGCUCAACUGCGGGACUGCUUUUGAAACUGUAUGACUGGAGUGCAGGAGAGG
rnacentral:rRNA from 1 species